AGUGUGUUAAUUUGGAUAUUUUUACUUUUGUAUUAUACUUUGAUAUUGUGAUACUAUAUAUUUGAUGAGUGUAAUAUUUUUAAUUCUAAGUAUUUAGUGAGUUAGUUUCUAGUCAUGCUCCACUGGUUAUGUUCAUUGUAUGAUUUUUUACAUGGCUCAGUGAGUUUUGAUAUAUUGGUUAUUUGUUUACUCUCUGGGUUUUACUAGUUUGUAUUGUGAAACUUUUUCUUCUUUGUGAUAAUUGGCUAAUUUAGUCAUAUGGUCAUUUUGGAGGGAAAUUCUAUUGUUAGGUCAGAAUUUACUCAUACUUUGAAUUGUAUAGUUGUGUGUUGUUUGCUUUGAUAUAUUUAUAUUUGUGGACAUCUUUGAUUCCAUUAUCAGGUCAGUUUUCUCUACUUAAUAUGUCACAUUCAUACUAAAAUACUGAUAUGAAUAGAUUGUAUAGAUGAUUUGGUAUGAAUGGUCAGAAUGAAUGAUUUCAGAGUAAAAGGUGUAUAAAAUAGAUUAAAACAUAUAAAAGUAUAUUAAAUAUUGUUUAAAUGAGUUUAACUAAAUUGACACAGUCAAACAAAUCAUUUUGUAAGUAUUUAAGCCAUAAACAGUAAAAUUAUAUGAAUUACUCAGUUUAGUGAAAAGAAGUAAUAGUAAAGAUAUAAAAUAGUAAUUUGUAUGUUAAGACAUAUUUUAAACUAUUAAAUGAUUUGAUAAUUUGAUACGUAAACUAUAAACACAAAUAGUUAUGAUAAUAUUUUUAUUACAGAUAUUUGAACCAUACUGUUCGUAUAUCAUGUAGAAGAUUCCAUAUUGUAAAUACAGGACCUAUGUACCUCAUACAUGGGUCAUUUCUUAUAUUACACAAUAAAACGAAUCCAUUGAUCCUGA